rnacentral:rRNA from 1 species
GCCUUAGGCCAAAAUACGCCAGCCGGUGGAUAACUCGGCUUGGGGGCCGAAGAAGGGCGUGGCAAGCUGCGAAAAGCCCCGGGUAGCCGCAAGCAGGCGUUGAACCGGGGAUGCCCGAAUGGGAUUUCCCGACAUCCCGCGCUUCGGCGUGGGAUGUCGCUCCACUGCCUUGAGCUGUGGAGCGGGAACCGGCCGAACGGAAGCAUCCAAGUAGGCCGAGGAAAAGAAAUCAAAACGAGACUCCCCUAGUAACGGCGAGUGAACGGGGACCAGGCCAAACCGAACCCGUGUGGGAAACCAUGCGGGGAUGUGGAGUGUGGGCCAGCCGCCCUCCUGUGCCCAGCGACCCGAAGCGACCUGGAAGGGUCCGCCAUAGAGGGUGACAGCCCCGUAGGGGAAGCUGGGAGUGGAGAUGGGCUGGUUCCCGAGUACCGCACCUCGGAUAUGGUGCGGGAAGGCAGGAGCCACUGGCUUCUAAGCCUAAGUACCUCCCAAGACCGAUAGCGCAACAGUACCGUGAGGGAAAGUUGAAAACUACCCCGAGAGGGGGUGAAAAGCGGUUGAAACCGGCUGGUAACGGACGAGGGCGGCGCGCAAGGUACUCCGUCCGAACACGCCGCGUAGGCGUGGAGGGCGGAUUAUCCGGCGUCGUCCGCUCCGUCUUGAAACACGGGCCGGGGAGUUCACCGUCGUGGCGAGCUUAACCGCGGAAAGCGGGUAGGCGCGGGGAAACCGAGAAGCCCGCAGCCGACUCUCGUCGGCGAGGGGCCGGGUCCGAACAGGGCCCGUAGUCACGGCGGUGAGGCUAGAAACCGGGCGAUCUAGCCCUGGGUAGGGUGAAGCCGGGCGAAAGCUCGGUCGAGGCCCGAACGCGUCCUGACGUGCAAUUCGGUGCGUUGACCUGGGGCUAGGGGCUAAAAACCAAUCUAGCCCGGUGAUAGCUAGUUCCCCCCGAAGUGUCUCGCAGGACAGCCUCGGCGGAGGUGGUCCGCGGGGUAGAGCACCGAUGGGGUGGUAAGGGCUCGAAAGGGCCCGCCAUCCUUUCGAACUCCGAAUCCGCGGACGCCGUAGAUGCCGGGAGUGGGGUGUGCGGGGUAAGCUCGCACGCCGAGAGGGGAACAACCCAGACCACGGGUUAAGGCCCCAAAGUGCCCGCUAAGUGACAAACCAAAGGGCGUCUCCCUCCUAAGACAGCGGGGAGGUAGGAAUAGAAGCUGCCAUCCUCUAAGGAGUGCGUAAGUUGUGGAAUCUCCGGCAAAAACUAAAUUAUCAGAUUACCCAUACCUCGUGACGGUGAUAGAAAAGGAGGCUUACAUCGCUGGCGCGCUACGCGACGGAUAUGUAGGAAAAUACACUGAUAACCACGGCAAAAUCCAUUACGUCAUAACAGUUUACAACAAAGAUGUCUAUUGGCUUCACCAGCUUGCUGAAUUCUUCGAAACCAUCUAUGGUGUCAAACCCAAACUAAACAUCACACCUAACCGAACACCAUAUCUAAGGCUGUAUUCGCGAACACUUGUUCAAUACUUUGCGGAAAAAUUCGGCCAUCCAAUAGGAAAGCAGACAAACUGGGGCACGCCAAUGUUUAUCAAACAGAGUUAUGACGAAAAUCUUUGGAUAAGUUACAUCGCAGGAUACUUUGAUGCAGAAGGCGGGAUUGACAUCAACAGGAGGCAAAUUAAGUUUCACACAUCAUGGGAUGGUGAUACAUGCCCUCCCCUUAUGGAUAUCAAAAUUGCGCUUGCAAGAUUUUUCGAAAUAAGAACAGGAGAAGUAUGCAUGUACAGAAACGAUAAAGGGAAUAUUCCCAGAUUUGUUCUACGAAUACUCAAGGCGGAUAAUGAAAGAUUUUUCAAAACAUUUCCAUUCCUUAACAAGAUAAAAAUCCAAAGACUGUUGAAAAUUAUGCCGGAGCGUUCGCAACCGCAAGACAGCUCACCCGCCGAGGAGGGGGGCCCCGAAAAUUGACGGGUCUAAGCGGGCCGCCGAAACCCGGGUUCACCCAGUUGUUGCUGGGUGGAGGUAGGGGGGCGUGGCGGUUGGGUGGAAGCAGGGCCGUGAGGUCCUGUGGACCGGCCGCCAAUGUAGAUCCCGGUGGUAGUAACAGCGGAGCGGGGUGAGAAUCCCCGCCGCCGAAGGGGCAAGGGUCUCCCGGCAACGCGUCGUCGGCCGGGAGUAAGCCGGUCCUAAGCCCGACCUUAACCGGGUAGGGCGAAAGGGAAACCGGUUAAUAUUCCGGUGCCUCCGGAGUACGUGCGGCGACGCAAGGCCGGUGUCUGACGCUUCGGGGUAGGCUGAGCGGGGCCGUAGCCCUGUCUAAACGCAUAAGCCUGGGGAGUGGCGUAAAGCCGAGAACCAGGUGAAAGCGUGAACGGCCGCCCGUAUGGGUGGUUCAGCUGAUCCCUGGAGCCCAUGAAAAAGACACCGGCAAGGAUCUCCGGAGACCGUGCCAAGAACCGACACCGGUGCCCCUGGGUGAGAAGCCCAAGGCGUCUGGGGUCACUCCAGGGCGAGGGAACUCGGCAAAUUAGCCCCGUAACUUCGGGAGAAGGGGUGCCUGAGGCCUUGGCCGCGAGGCUGGGGCCUUAGGUCGCAGUGACUAGGGGGUCCUGACAGUUUAAUAAAAACCUAGGUAGCCGCGAGACCGAAAGGUUUUGAACGGCUAUCGAAUCCUGGCCAGUGCGGGUACUCGAAAACCGGGUUCAACCGGUAUAAGGGCCCGUAAACGCCGGGAGUAACUCUGACUCUCGAGCUAAAGGGAGUCGUUAAACCCGGCUGUAUGCGGGGAAUUCCAGAGCCCUCAACUACCUUAAAAGGUAACAAUGUUGGGGGUUAUGAGGAAGACCCGCAGGAAACCCCUGCCAACGUGGUAGCCAUGCUCACCGAAUUCUCGGACAUAAUCGACCCAGAGGAACUUCCCAACAGGCUUAGCCAGCUCAAGUGGCACAUAACAGGGUUCGUCGACGGCGACGGAAGCUUCCCGAUAAUCCUUUCACCCGACGCUGGAAAAAAAUUCGGCUGGCUAAUCCAGCCAAGGUUUGAGGUCGAGCUUCGAAGAAACGAAGACUCCGAGGUCAUGCUCAAAGUGAUAUGCAGGGCCAUGCUGAUUAGGCCAAGGAUAUUCGCAGGCGAAAACUACGUCAAACUCAUCGUUACCAAUAGGAGGAUACUGCUGGAGAAGGUGGUUCCCUUCUUCGAAAAAUAUAGACCAGCGGUCAAGUGGCUGGACUUCAAGAUAAUGAGCGAGGUUGCGCAAGACCUGCAGCAGAAGAGACAUCUAGAAUACGAUGGAUUCAAGGAGAUCGUCAGAAAAAUAUACUCCAUUCCACGGGACGGAGAGACAAGAAGGAAGUGGAGGUUCGAGGACAUAGUCAAGGACGAGGAGCCACCGCCUCCCCGUGAAGACACUAGGACAAGACUGCCCAGCGGACUUGUACCGCUCAAACACUACGUCGCAGGCUUCAUAGACGCCGAAGGCUCACUCGGAUUCGCCGUAAACAGGGAGACAAGGUCGAUAACACCGUAUCUCACGAUAACCAGCUCCGAGACAGAUGUUCUCAGAAAAAUUAGAUGGCUUCUAGGAUGCGGAGAAAUCAGCGGAGGAAGGCUUCAGAUCUACGGCGUCGACAACAUCGUUAACAGAGUUGCACCAUUCCUCGACAGACAGAAGCUCAUAGCAAAAAGGACAACCUACAAGAUGUUUAAACACAUACUUGAGACGGUUGUCCGAGGCGAUCACAAGAGAAACUUCCAAGAAACCGUUGAACUCGUCAAUAUGUUGAACAAAACAGCAGGGGGAUCCCCAGAGACCAUACGCCGGGCGCCCUCAGCAAAUACAGGGGGCGAAGAUAUGGUCCAGCACCCGUAGAAAAAGGGUGUUGCUUAAGGUAGCCAAAUGCCUUGUCGGGUAAGUUCCGACGUGCAUGAAUGGAUCAACGAGGGCCCCACUGUCCCCGCCUGGAGCCCCGUGAACCCACGUAACGUGGGCGAACAGUCCACGAACUCCCAACGGGGAAAGAAGACCCUGUGGAGCUUUACUGCAGCCUGUCGCUGGGAUGUGGACGGAUGUGCAGAGCGUAGCCGGGAGCCGUCGAUCCCCGUCUCUCCGGGGGCGGGGGGAGGCGACGAUGUAACACCGGCCACGUCUGUCUGCAUCUCUCACCGGCGCGAAAGCGCUGGAACAACGGCAGGUGGGCAGUUUGGCUGGGGCGGCACCCCCUCGAAAAGAUAUCGAGGGGGCCCAAAGGUCGGCUUAGGCGGGACAGAAACCCGCCGUGAAGUGCAAGGGCAAAAGCCGGCUUGACAGGGCCCUUGAAAGCCAGGGGCCCUGAGGGGAAACCCAGGCCUAGCGAUCCAUCGGCUCCUACCAGUGGGGGCCGGUGGUGACAGAAAAGUUACCCCAGGGAUAUUGCGCGCAGCAACCAUAAAAGCCGCCGAUAUAGGCUCUUGCAGGGUGUCUGAAGACCUUUACUAUUUAAUCGGAGCCUCUUGCGACGCUUACAUGGGAUGUAGGCGUUCAAAAGGUGAAUAUGUUGUCGAAUUUUAUCAGAAGAACCUUUCGUGGCUUUGUAAGGAGGUGGUCAGCCGUCUCCAGAGAUUAGGGUUUAGGCCGAGGUGCAGGGUUUUUCGAGGAAGAUAUUAUAGAGUGGUCGUGUACUCCAAAAAACUAUACCAGCUGCUGAGUCAAGAUAAACUCACUCUCUUGGAGAAAGGCAGUGAAACCGAAAUGCUGUGGUUCGUAAGAGGCAUGGUUGACGCGGAGGGAUCUGUUAUUACCUCACUACACAGAAUAACGAUUUGGCAGAAUGAUGUUAAACUACUCGAAGCUGUCCGCAGAGUGUUAGAAAACCAUGGCUUAAAAUGUGGAAAAAUAACACGUUCGAGAAACGUGUAUGCCCUACCGAUUUAUGGUAGGGGUAGAAUGGCCCAAUUUAUGAAACACAUAGGCUUCAGACACCCUGAAAAAAGGAGAAUGAUGAGGCGGAAGGUUGUCCUGGCGCAACCCUAGAACAGGCUCGUCGCGGGCGAGAGUCCCCAUCGACCCCGCGGCUUGGUACCUCGAUGUCGGCUCUUCCCAACCUGGCCGUGCAGAAGCGGCCAAGGGUGCGGCUGUUCGCCGAUCAAAGGGGAACGUGAGCUGGGUUUAGACCGUCGUGAGACAGAUCGGAUUUUACCUGUUGGGAGUGCUGGCUGCCUGAGGGGAAGGUGCUCCCAGUACGAGAGGAACGGAGCGCCGGGGCCAACGGUGUACCGGUUGUCCUACAGGGCAGUGCCGGGCAGCUGCGCCCCCGCGGAUAAGGGCUGAAAGCAUCUAAGCCCGAAGCCGCUCCCGAAAACAGGCAGCCACUCGCCGGGUAAGGGCUCGGCAACGGGCCUAUACCGGCGACGAGGGCUCCCGUAGAAGACGGGUUUGAUGGGGCGGGGGUGUACGGAUGGAGGCUUCGGCCGGACAUCCUCAGCCCGCCGCUCCCAACCGCCCGAGUGGCCUAAGGU